GGCUCUUUGCUCACAUAAAUAUAAAGAGUCGAGCCUGCCCAGUGAAUUUUUUUAACGGCCGCGGUACUCUGACCGUGCAAAGGUAGCAUAAUCAUUUGCCUUAUAAUUGAAGGCUAGUAUGAAUGGUUUGACGAGAGCAAUACUGUCUCCUUUUUAUUUUCAAAAACUUAACUUUUAGGUGAAGAGGCCUAAAUUUUAUUGAAGGACAAGAAGACCCUGUCGAGCUUGAAAGACAUUAUAGGAGUCUAAUAUAUUUUUAAAUAAAUUUUCUAUUAGGCUUUUUAGUUGGGGCGACUAGGGAACAAAAAAAGCUUCUUUCUAAUAAAUAAACAAUCAUGUUUAGAUCCGAUAAUAGCGAUCAAAGAAAUUAGUUACCGCAGGGAUAACAGCAUAAUCUCUCUUAAGAGGCCUAAUCGAAAGAGGGGGUUGUGACCUCGAUGUUGGACUAGAAUAUCCUAAAGAUGCAGAAGUCUUUAAGGGUCGGUCUGUUCGACCGUUAAAAUUCU
rnacentral:rRNA from 1 species